rnacentral:rRNA from 1 species
GACGAACCGUGCAAACGUUGUUCGGAAUCACUGGGCUUAAAGGGCGCGUAGGCGGGCGACCAAGUCAGAGGUGAAAGCCCACGGCUCAACCGUGGAAGUGCCCCUGAUACUGGUUGUCUUGAGGGAGAUAGGGGCGUGCGGAACUUCCGGUGGAGCGGUGAAAUGCGUAGAUAUCGGAAGGAACACCGGUGGCGAAAGCGGCGCGCUGGAUCUCUACUGACGCUGAGGCGCGAAAGCCAGGGGAGCAAACGGG